GACGAACGCUGGCGGCGUGCUUAACACAUGCAAGUCGUACGGUAAGGCCCUUUGGGGGGUACCCGAGUGGCGAACGGGUGCGUAACAGGGGAGUAACCAUCCCACACCUUUGGGACAAGGGGAGUAAAGUGGGGCUACUUACGGUUAUGUCCCCCUGCUGCAUGGGGGGGGUUGGGGAGAUCCUGGGGGUGUGGGUGGACUCGCGGCCUAUCAGCUUGUUGGUGCGGUGGUGGGCUACCAAUGCGGCGACGGGUAGCCGGACUGAGAGGGUGACAGGCGACAUUGGGUCUGAGAUACGGCCCAGACUCCUACGGGAGGACGAAGGGGGGAAGAUUGCACAAUGGGCGCCAGCCUGAUGAAGAAACGCCGCGGGCGGGAUGACGGCCUUCGGGUUGAAAACCGCUUUCAGCAGGGACGAAGCUUUUUGUGACGGUACCUGAAGAAGAAGCACCGGCUAACUACGUG
rnacentral:rRNA from 1 species